rnacentral:rRNA from 1 species
UGGGGAAUUUUGCACAAUGGGGGAACCCUUGAUGCACCGACGCCGCUUGAUUUAGAAGGCCUUCGGGUUGUAAAAAUCUUUUCUAUGGGAAGAAAAUGACAUUACCAUAGGAAUAAGGACCGGCAAAUUCCUUCCCAGCAGCCGCGGUAAUACGUAAGGUCCGAGCGUUGUCCGGAAUCAUUGGGCGUAAAGGGUACGUAGGCGGGUAAGCAAGUUAGAAGUGAAAUCCUGUAGCUCAACUACAGUAAGCUUUUAAAACUGCUCAUCUUGAGAUAUGGAAGGGAAAGAGGAAUUCCUAGUGUAGCGGUGAAAUGCGCAGAUAUUAGGAGGAAUACCGGUGGCGAAGGCGACUUUCUGGCCAUAAUCUGACGCUGAGGUACGAAAGCGUGGGUAGCAAACAGG